ensembl:lncRNA
CUAGUCACUCCGCUCAGACAAACAAGUCCAUUUUGUGGUGCUGGUGGCAGAUAAAUCAUACACUUCAUCUUUAAUAUUUAAUUGACCAAUGUAUUUUUCGAAAUUUUCAUUCCCCAGAACUCACAGAUGCACCAUCAAUCCAGCUGGAGAUUCAAGACCAUAUACAAAAUCGUUUUAUAUCACCAGGACAGAGAAAAGUAGUCGUGAAGUGGGAGUAUGCAAACAGUGAGGCUGUGGCUUACUACAAUGUGACAGUGAGGAAAGUAUCCGGGGAAUUUAGCAAUCAGGACAGUUUCAGAACUGAAGAUUCAUCUCUCACCAUGAUCCUGUCUUACUCUGUAUACAACAUCAGUAUCAGAGCUUUAAACACUGCUGGAUCAUCUCCUGUUUCCAGUAUAGCCACUGAGCAAAUGGAUGAAUGGAGGGAUUCAUUUGGGCCAUUCAGUGUCAACAUAACCAGCCACAACCAUUUUAGUCUGUCCUGGAACAGGUCCGUCUCAAGUGUUUGUUACUCUGUGGAGUGGUGGGCCAAAGAACAGAUACCAACUUUUUGUACAUUCUACGAAAAGCAGACACGCAAAGAAAUAACUGGGAAAACUGAAACCUAUAGGAGCAUAGGACGUGACGUGUGGCCAACAGUUUUUCAGCCAUAUACAAGAUAUUAUUUCGUCCUGCACACCAGACCGUACCCAGACACCUGCAACAUGAAGAAUGUAAACAACAGUGAGACGACCUAUGGCACAGCCCAAGCUUACUUCACUGAAGGAACCUUCAAAGUGGAUCCCAGCGUAAACAGUUAUGAGCUGCAGAAUCUUGAAAGCAACAGUGCGUACCGCGUGCAGCUGUCUGCAUUUACAGCGGCUGGAGAAGGAGAGCGAAGUGAUUUCAAACACUUUGUCACAAACCUACUAGAAUUCACAGCUUUGAUCAGCAUUAUAGCCGCGGUUGUUGUGGGAAUAAUAAUUCUUUUACUAGCAGUUCACCUCAGCUGUCGACUUCUGCACAGACCAAAUCCUGAGAAUAGCAACGCUGUUCAGAAAACUGAAAUUGUCUAUGAUCUGGGUAUCCUGGAGCCACUGAACAGACAGAGGUUAGAGGAAAGUGAGGGAUGUGAUUACACUGCAGUCCAGUACAGUGUUUGUCGUUGGGAGCAAGAGGGAGGCAUCUCCUCUCUGUAGCCCUCCCACUGCUCAGGCUGGUGUGCCCACCACCCUUCUCCUCAGUGAAGAUGAGGACAGCCCAUCCAUCCCGGAGCAGAUCCCACCACCUGACAUCCCAACACAAGUCCUUCAAGGGGCGUUUCUAGGAUUUUCAUUUUAGGGGGGCUCAGCCCCCAACAAGGGUAUGAUUAAAAAAAUAUAUUAUUUGAGGUAGGGUAGGGUAGGGUUGUAUACUACUAACCUUAUUGUAAUCCACUAUUCCAUUGUAUUCCCUGUAUUUCAUAUAUGGGAGUAGGAGUACUGACUGAGCCAUAUACAACACUGUAAAACAUUUUUGAAAAAUGUAGAUGUGACCAGUCACUAGAAAAUUUUGAGUUGGGAAUGUAGAUUUUUUUUACAAUGAAGACUUCCUGAUUCAUUAUUAGGACAUUCAUGUUUAUCCUUUGACGAUACCACUGUUUUUUCUUAUGAAAUGUACGUGGAAAUUGGCAGACAAUUAAAACAACAUAAGGGUUCAAUGACUGCAAUUAAUCUUGUGAACACAGUGGUAUUGUGUGUGAGAGGCUGUCUACGUUCUAUUCUCAUUUUUUGAAAAAUUUAGAUGUGACCAGUCAUUAGAAAAUUUUGAGUUGGGAAUGUAGAUUUUUUUUACAAUGAAGACUUCCUGAUUCAUUAUUAGGACAUUCAUGUUUAUCCUUUGACGAUACCACUGUUUUUUCUUAUGAAAUGUACGUGGAAAUUGGCAGACAAUUAAAACAACAUAAGGGUUCAAUGACUGCAAUUAAUCUUGUGAACACAGUGGUAUUGUGUGUGAGAGGCUGUCUACGUUCUAUUCUCACCUGACUUGCUCAUUUGCAGACCUACUCCCGCACUACAAGAAAAAAUGUUGUAUAUCCAUCUACAAUGAAAUAUAUAUAUAUUAGCCUUUAUAAUCAACAAUACGGUUGGUUAUACAUCAAGUCACCCCCUGAAAAUUUAUUUCAUUUCAAAUCAUUUAACUAACCAGCUAAUAUUCAUUAAGAAUACAGACAAAACAUGUAUUAAUGCAAUUGUCUAUUGGCAAUAUGUUUAAUCUAUUCUAUAUUUAUUUCUAUUUAUUAAAAAUAACAACAUGAAUUAUCAUGGCACUUCUAUAAAUCAAUUACUUAAAAAAAAAUCACAAAUCCCUUUAAUCUACUCUUACUCUAAUAUAUGUAUCAUGAUACACUAUGAUUCAUUAUUACUUAAUACAAAAAUAUAUUUAAAAAUACAAAACAAAAUAACUCCACAUGAUGUUUCUCUCUCUGUGCCAUUUAGUGCUCUCAGACGUGUGUCUUUAAUCAUUUCUGUGCAUGGCUGCAUAAUGUAAUGCCGAAAUACACAAUAAUAUGUUUUGAAUUUUAAAAAGUAAAUUAAAAUAAAUCACUAUUGUUUUCUAAAGUAUGUUUUCA